AACGUAGGACACAAGCGUUAUCCGGAUUUACUGGGCGUAAAGAGCGCGCAGGCGGUCGUUCAAGUCGCGUGUGAAAGCCCCCGGCUCAACUGGGGAGGGUCACGCGAUACUGAUCGACUCGAAGGCAGGAGAGGGUAGUGGAAUUCCCGGUGUAGUGGUGAAAUGCGUAGAUAUCGGGAGGAACACCAGUGGCGAAGGCGACUACCUGGCCUGUUCUUGACGCUGAGGCGCGAAAGCUAGGGGAGCAAACGGG
rnacentral:rRNA from 1 species